CAGAAAAAUCCAGGUGGCCACUAAUGAUAAAGAAAGAAUGGUUCAGCAUGGCAGAACCAGAAGACAGCUCCCAAGCCCAGUAGUCAUUUCUCUGUCACGUAUGGAUCCUGGAACAGCUAGAAGCUUUGAUCUUCUUGUCUUAGAGAUAUUUUUUUUUCAUUGGAUCUAAAAUUGUUGUGCACCAUUGAGAGUCACUUUUGGUGAGAUGGGCGGCUAUAUAAAUUUGAUUAAUACAUAAAUAAAUAAAAUCUAAAGUUAGCAAAGUGA